AUGCAGGAAGGCCUCGCCCACCUCUUCCUCGUCGGGAGGAGCGUCACGGCCACCAGAGCGCGCGUGGAGGUGCCCAUCCCCAGGAAGCACGGCUCCAGCUCCGGCGCCGUCGCCGCCUACGACACCGCCCUCAAGGACUUCUUCCAGCGCGUCCUGGCCGCCUUCGUGCACCACGUCGACUUCGACCUCGUCCAGUGCGUGGUGAUCGCCAGCCCCGGCUUCACCAAGGACCAGUUCCGCGACCACAUGCUCCUGGAGGCCGCCCGGCGAGGGGAGCUGCGCGCCAUCACGGAGCACAAGGCGCGCAUCGUGCUCGCACCCGCGCCCUCGGGCUACCCGCACAGCCUCAAGGACGUCCUGGCCGCCCCGAGCGUCCUGUCGCUGAUAAAGGACACCAGGGCCGCGCUGGAGGUGCCGGCGCUGCAGGAGUUCUAUGCCAUGAUCGCCAAGGACUCGGCGAGGGCUUGCUACGGGCCCAAGCACGUCGAGGUCGCGCAUGAACGUCUCGCCAUCCAGACCCUCUUGCUGACGGACACUUGGUUCCGAAACCCUGACGUUGUUGCUAGGCGCAAGUGCGUCGAUUUGGCCGAGUCCGUGAAGAAGGUCGGUGGCAAGGUGUGCGUCUUUUCGUCCAUGCAUGUCUCCGGCAAUCAGCUCGAGCAGCUCACGGGGAUAGCCGCAGUUCUUCGUUUUCCCAUGCCUGAUCUCGACGACAUCGAGAUGUGA
rnacentral:rRNA from 1 species